rnacentral:rRNA from 1 species
GUAGGUGGCAAGCGUUGUCCGGAAUUAUUGGGCGUAAAGCGCGCGCAGGCGGUCCUUUAAGUCUGAUGUGAAAGCCCACGGCUCAACCGUGGAGGGUCAUAGGAAACUGGGGGGACUUGAGUACAGAAGAGGAAAGCGGAAUUCCAAGUGUAGCGGUGAAAUGCGUAGAGAUUUGGAGGAACACCAGUGGCGGAGGCGGCUUUCUGGUCUGUAACUGACGCUGAGGCGCGAAAGCGUGGGGAGCAAACAGGAUUAGAUACCCUGGUAGUCCACGCCGUAAACGAUGAGUGCUAAGUGUUAGGGGGUUUCCCGCCCCCUUAGUGCUGCAGCUAACGCAUUUAGCACUCGCCUGGGGAGUACGGCCGCAAGGCUG